rnacentral:rRNA from 1 species
UACAGAGGCCUCGAGCGUUAGGCGGAAUCACUGGGCUUAAAGCGUGUGUAGGCGGACUUCUAAGUACCUUGUGAAAUCCCACGGCUUACCCGUGGAACGGCUGGGUAUACUGGGAGUCUUGAGCCACCUAGGGGCGAGUGGAACAAAUGGUGGAGCGGUGAAAUGCGUAGAUAUCAUUUGGAACGCCAAUGGUGAAAACAGCUGACUGGGGAUGUGCUGACACUGAGACACGAAAGCCAGGGGAGCAAACGGG